rnacentral:lncRNA from 1 species
ACAAAUACGUAUACAAAUGUUUACUUCAUAUAUUUUUAUGUUAUAACUAUGUAUGUGUAAAAUUUAAAUAUAUAGAAAAAAAAUUAAAAUAAAUCUCUCACAAUAAAGACCAAAGAACCCCGAAAGUUUCUCUUCCAAGCCCAAUCUUUGCUGUGAAACUCGGUUUAUUUCUAUGGCGGAUUUCCUCGAUCAUGGAGGAAAUGAAUAACCGUUGUCUUUUCAAUCUUCAUCUCUCCAUAGGAAAAGAAUAUAACGAAUGAAUGAACAAAAUUUAAUUUAAAGCUUCAUGUUCAGUACUUCCAUACCCAAACAAGAUCAAGGAGAUCGGAUUUUGCUUUGUUGGGGGGAUAAGACUCUAAUGAGAGGGAAUUUAAACGGGGAAGCAGCAGCCCCGCUUGGACCCAAAAAAUGCGG